rnacentral:lncRNA from 1 species
GUAAGGACAUUUGCUUUUUAUUUCUCUUCUUUGGACCAGAGUAGAUCGACAACCCCUGCCUCCAGUAAGCAUCCUGUUUCUGUAAGGCCAUGUUCAGCCACCAGGGGGCAGGGGCGAGCAGGACUUAGUGCCUCUGCGCCUGGCCGGCCACCUUGUCCCUCCAGGUUCCAGAUCUGCCGCAGAGGGCCCUGAAGUUGGCAAGGUGCACGGGAGAAGGGUGGUGGCGGUCCAUUCUUGUCCUAAAGCGCAAAGAUCAAAUGUGGAAGGAGAAUCUCAAGAAGGCUGCGAAGCUGGGGAGCCCUGCAGUGCCACAGGCUGGGAGGCCCACCAGGUUCUACCCUCUGGUUGCAGUGACUCCUCGGGGCUGAUGUCCAGCCUUACCUCUCGUGAUGGUGGUAGAGGCUUUGUACUGGUGGGAUGCAGGCUGUUGAGUCAAGUUGGCCGGUGGCCACUACGCCAGUGAGCUCCUGAGCCCGCCUUUGCCUGCAGAGGAAUCAGAUCUCAACCUGUCCCUCCUUCAGGAUGAACUCCUGGCCAUGGAGACCUGGAAUACAAGAGUCAUUCCUAAUU